CCUACGGGGGGCUGCAGUGAGGAAUAUUGGUCAAUGGACGAAACUCUGAACCAGCCAUGCCGCGUGGAGGAUGAAGGUCCUCUGGAUUGUAAACUCCUUUUAUAAAAGAAGAAACCCCAUUUUUCUAAAUGGGUUGACGGUACUUUAUGAAUAAGCACCGGCUAACUCCGUGCCAGCAGCCGCGGUAAUACGGAGGGUGCAAGCGUUAUCCGGAUUCACUGGGUUUAAAGGGAGCGUAGGUGGGUUGGUAAGUCAGUGGUGAAAUCUCCGAGCUUAACUUGGAAACUGCCAUUGAUACUAUCGAUCUUGAAUACUGUGGAGGUAAGCGGAAUAUAUCAUGUAGCGGUGAAAUGCUUAGAUAUGAUAUAGAACACCAAUAGCGAAGGCAGCUUACUACGCAGUUAUUGACACUGAGGCUCGAAAGCGUGGGGAUCAAACAGGCUUAGAUACCCCGGUAGUC
rnacentral:rRNA from 1 species